rnacentral:rRNA from 1 species
GGUAGCGGGGAAAGGGUAAGAUUUUCCAGGAACCCCCGUGGGGAAAAGGGGGCGCGGGACCAAUAUUGACGGGGGGGAAGGAAAGUUAGGGGAGCAAACCAGGAUAGAAUACCCUGGUAGUUUUAGCCCUAAACGAUCAGGACUGGGGGGCCAACCCGUUGGGGGGUGGUCCCCGAGGUAACGCGUUAAGUCCUGCACCUGGGGAGUACGGUCGCAAGACUGAAAUCAAAGGAAUUGACGGGGGGCCGCACAAGCGGUGGAACAUGUGGUCAAUUUCGACGCUACGCGAGGAACCUUACCUGGGCUCGAAAUGCUAGUGACCAGCUGUAGAAAUAUGGCCUUUCCGCAAGGGACACUAGUAUAGGCGCUGCAUGGCUGUCGUCAGCUCGUGCCGUGAGGUGUUGAGUUAAGUCCCGCAACGAGCGCAACCCUUACUCUUAGUUGCCACCCGCAAGGGGGAACUCUAAGAGGACUGCUCCGGAUAACGGAGAGGAAGGUGGGGAUGAGGUCAAGUCAGCAUGGCCUUUAUGUCCAGGGCAACACACGUGUUACAAUGCGCGCCACAAAGCGUUGCAAACCCGCGAGGGGGAGCUAAUCGCAAAAAAGCGCGCUCAGUUCGGAUUGCAGUCUGCAACUCGACUGCAUGAAGCCGGAAUCGCUAGUAAUGGCGCAUCAGAACGGCGCCGUGAAUACGUUCCCGGGCCUUGUACACACCGCCCGUCACAUCACGAAAGUGGGCUGUACUAGAAAUCACCGUGCCAACCGCAAGGAGGCAGGUGCUCAAGGUAUGACUCAUGAUUGGGGUGAAGUCGUAACAAGGUAA